CUGGAUUAAAGGUAGGGGUUCCUUUUCCUUUAAAAUGUCGAUUUUCAGUGAUGGAUGGGUUUUCACCCCAGGAUAUGAAAUCUUUGUGCUAUACGUAGCAUAGCGACGCUAAUAAACCUGAGCUGCUUCGAUGCAGUCAAAAAAAAAAAUCAGACUGUUAUACUUUGCAUCAAGGUUGUAGUAGGUUCCUUUGGUCGGUGACCUUUGAUAAACAAUAGUUGAUCUGAAAUAUACAUUGAGAGAAUAUUAAGCUGUGCCAGCUGUCACUCCAUCUUAUUGUUGGUUCUUCAUUCCCAUGAAAGGGUUUGCAUGUAUGACUUCUUUAGAUAAUCAAAAUGUCAAUAAAAUAUCUAUAUAACCUCGCACUGCUCGCUAUACCUGUCAGUCAAGACGACUAAAUGAACCCUGACUCUUCUCUCCGCCGUGCAGGCCGGUCCACCACGUUGACGGCGGCGCGAUGGAGAUGGAAUGGCUUUGCGGAGCAGGAAGAUGGGUGAUAACCUGGCAACCAUGCGUGACUCCGAAUCAAUUUUGUCACACACACCUCUGACACGCUAACUGAUUCUUCCCAAGAUCUCAACACACCCGAACAAUAGACAUUAUACAAGCCGAGGCCGCCUAUAGAAAAAGCUGUUACAUCAGAAGUCCUGAUAUUGCUUCAUAUCUCCGUGUGCGCCAUAUUCCUCAUAAUGCUCCUGUUCUGGCUGCUUUCAUUAAAGUGAGAGCGCUCGCAUCCAAUCUUAUUCGUCCCCUCUGACAUAUGUGUCACAUAUUCCCGUCUAGACUAAUACUACUACUACGACUAUGCAGUACUUUCCAAAUGUUAUACAGUGUUGGAACAAUAGCAAUCUUUGACCGGCAGGCUAAUUAACCAACUGAUUAACCUUGGGUGUCCUCUUCACUAGCCAACGUGCACUUUGAAGCAUUUUAGGACAUUGAAAAAUAAGACAGCUAGUGGGUGAAAAUAUAGUAUAUUAGAUGUGUAUGGAUGUGUAAACACCAGGGCUGCUACUAACCAUUACUUUCUGAGCCGAUUAAUCUCAAGAUGGUCGUUUCAGUUAAUCGAGUGUUCAGUUCGGUCCAAAUCAAUAUCAACCAAACACAAACGAUUAGUCAUUUGGUCCAUAUCGGAAUACAGGCAAAAAUGUCCAUCACUGUUUUCCCAAAGUCAAAGCUGAUGUGUGAAUAUCCACUUUUGACCCCCCCCCCCCCUUCCAAGAUAAUAGGUCUGCUUUCAACUCCUACCAAAAAGGUGAAUGGUGCUAGACCUCUGGGUUAUUCCUGCCCACUUUGCGUUCCAAGCAGAACAUUACCUGCCGCUUUUGUCCCCUUCAAGGAAUCCUAACAAUACGCCCACGCAAGAUGGAUGCCUGAUGGAACCGCAAACCUGUUUGAUGUCACGGAACAGCGGCUGCAGUCUCCCAGGAAAACAACGUCUACGUCAGUGGAAUGAACAUGACAGUGUGUACUUCACAGAGGCAGUACUUGGAAGACAGGAUGACCUCAACCGGGGCGGCUCUACUUUCUUGUUUGUGUGCAGACGUGGAGGAACGAGUUUGCCGAGCGAGUGCGGGACCGAGCACAUCAUCGUCCCCAGAAAGCUGCUGUGGAUACCCGACGUGGUCAUCAAUGAGUUGUAGCUGGCCGCAACGACGCAGGAGCCAAUCACGGCGCAGAAACAGGUGGCGUUUGGAGUGUUGUGGUGUUCUCAACACCACAGAACUCAGAACUUAUUAGUUAGUCACUGAUGAAACAAUCAGUCGUUGACUGACAACAAUGACUUAAUUACGUACAGGAGCCUCAAGGCUUAGCAUUAGAGCCGCUGGUUUUGCACCACGGCGUCAUCUUCAUCGCAUCCCCGCUCUUCCCGUUCUUUGUUCCACAAGCGAGCAGCAAGCAUAAAUAACACAGGUGACUUGAUCUCCGUGUAGAUGAUAUUGUGAGAUGCGGAAAGCUGAUGUAAAUUAGGUGCUGAUUUACGGUAACAGCCUGAGGCCGUCAGCCAAAUGUGACCCACAUACGUAAAUACACCACACUGACAAAUGACACGUUCAUUAAUCACAAGUCAGGUUGCAACAUCCGGCAAUAUUCAAAGUUGCACAUUGUCAGGAGGAAUUUAUAUAAAGUGUAUUUCCUCACGAUAUGUAUGAAUAAUAAUGUUAAUAUCUAAAAUAAUUGUACAUUUAUCUCAGCUAAAUCAGGUACAAGGUACACUCAGACAUAUGUAGUGAGCUUGACCGCCUCAACGCAGGGCUUGAGGAAGUAAGGAAGGAAGGAAGGAGACGGAUCAUUCUGUGUGUGUUCUUGGACUAAAUAAACUACACACCCACACACAAUACAGACGCCUGAAGGGAAGGAUGGAACGUGCGUUUGACAGGUGGAUUGCUGCGGCGUGUAGUGAUGUCGACUCCGAGCUUAGCUCUCAAUUGACCGGUCCAGCUAUGUUCCUACCGGAGCUUUGGGUAGGGACCGAAAACACAAAUCAUGGGUAUAAGUGGCUUGGGAAUACCUCCGGAUCCACUGGGAGGAGCCGGAGCAAGUAGUCAAUCUUGGCUUCCCUGCUUAGUCCGCUGCCUCCACGACACAAUCUCGGAUAGGUGGAUAAGAUCGAUAGAUGGAUUAACGAUUCCCUGGCUGAAAUCUGUCUGUAGUGUCCCAACUUGAAAUGAUCCACCAUCAGUUUUCACACGGAGUCACCAAUGCAUUGUUUGGACACUCAAACAAUUUGCGAGGCACACUGUUUGGCCGUAUGAAAACCGAGACAUGCAGUAUUUGUGGCAAUAAUCCUACAAUGCGACAGUAUGCGACAACCGAGGUUGUACUGCAGUAUAUUUGGUUACACGGCCAGGACUGAGUUUGACCCGCUAAUAAAAAUGCGGCCUCUCCAACAGUCUAAGGGUAAUUUUUACAAGUUAAAUAUCAAAGACAACAGUCUAAAGUGCAUGGUUUGAACCCUGUGUGUUUACAGAUGACUCAGUUCCAAAUGGAGAUGAUAACAAAGGGCGGUUCUUCAGUGGCGUGUCUGCAGGAAAUUGCUUUUUCACUGGCCUCACACAC